rnacentral:misc_RNA from 1 species
GAUUUUGAUCGUGACAAGGAGUGUAAUCGGUGAACUUUCCAUCACAUGACUCAAAUAUUUUAACUUCCGAGUCAGAUGGCAGAGUAUUGAUCCCAAUACUGUGGUGAGUGUCAAAGUUUAAUCCUGACAAGAUGCUACACUCAGUUUCCCUUGUAAUGCUUAAGGCAAUGCUAUCACCCUUCCCAGAACCACUCUUCUGCCAUGCACCUAAUACAUAGAAGAAACAGCACAGGCCAACCAUAAUGAAUAUCGAC